UCAAUUGGAAUUGUUCUGAAUUGGAUUGAGUCUGUCAAACUAUAAUCUUGGAUGAGACAGCUUCAGCACAAGUGAUGAGAACUAAAGACAUCCACAGAUGUAGAUGAGCUUUCCAACCUGUACAGUAAGUCUACAUGGGGAUUCUUCAAAGAUAGGCCGUGGCUACUGCAGAGGACAGAGAGCCAGGAAACAGUGGUGUCAGGAAAUCCAAAGGAAGAAGGUGCUUGCUGCUUGCAGAAAUUGCUACCAUCAUUUUACCGCAAAUGAACUUUAGCCCGUAGAGUCUUAAAGUAUAAGAUGAGACUACCCAUUGGGCCAUUUGGAAGACGUUCUGAACUCUGAGGAGCUUUUUGCUCAAAAUAUUGAAACAAACUCGCAGGAGGCAUCAGCUCCUCCUUCCUGCCCUGCUUGAGUUCCA